GCUCGGUCUUCGUGUCGUGGAUCUGAUCUGGACAGGGGUCACAAGUCUCUCUGUGUCUUUUUACUGAAGGAUUUUGUUGGAGAAUUGACCUAAAGUCGACGCACACAGCAGCCAUGGCAGACAAAGAUGAGAUGAGGAAGCCCAAGAAAAAGAGUGCGACUAUUUUUGGCUUCCCAAUAAGCAUCUUUUUCAUCGUCGUCAAUGAGUUCUGCGAACGAUUCUCCUACUAUGGCAUGCGAGCCGUGCUCGUGCUGUACUUCAAGUACUUCCUGAGAUGGGAUGAUGACUUUGCCACCACUAUCUACCAUACCUUUGUGGCUCUCUGCUACCUGACGCCCAUCCUGGGAGCCAUAGUGGCUGAUUCAUGGCUCGGCAAGUUCAAGACUAUUGUUUACCUGUCCAUCGUUUACGCACUGGGACAGGUUAUCUUGGCUGUAAGUGCUAUCCAUGACAUCACGGAUGCAAACAAAGAUGGCACCCCCGACAACAUGACCUUCCACAUAGCUCUGUCCAUGGUGGGUUUGCUCCUUAUUGCUCUGGGUACAGGAGGCAUCAAACCCUGCGUGGCUGCCUUUGGUGGAGACCAGUUUGACGAUGAUCAGGAGAAGCAGAGGAGCACCUUCUUCUCCAUCUUCUACCUGUCCAUCAAUGCUGGCAGUCUAUUGUCCACUGUCAUCACUCCCAUCCUCAGAGCUCAGGAGUGCGGUAUUCACACCCAACAGAAGUGCUACCCAUUGGCCUUUGGUGUCCCUGCUGCUCUCAUGGUGGUAGCUCUGAUUGUGUUCAUUGUUGGAAGUGGGAUGUACACUAAGAACGCCCCUCAGGGCAACAUCUUGGUCAAAGUCUGCAAGUGCAUCGGGUUUGCUAUCAAGAACCGCUUUAGGCAUCGUGCUCCUGAGUACCCGAAGAGAGCCCACUGGAUGGACUGGGCUGAGGAGAAAUACGAUAAACUCCUGAUUGCUCAGGUGAAGAUGGUGCUGAAGGUGCUGUUCCUCUACAUCCCUCUGCCAAUGUUCUGGGCUCUCUUUGACCAGCAGGGCUCCAGAUGGACCCUCCAGGCAACCACCAUGGACGGUGACUUUGGACUUCUUAUAAUCCAGCCUGAUCAGAUGCAGACUGUCAACCCUAUCUUGAUCCUGGUUUUGGUGCCAAUCAUGGACAGUUUGAUCUACCCUCUGAUUGCCAAGUGCAAAUUAAACUUCACUCCAUUAAAGAGGAUGACUGUUGGGAUGUUCCUUGCUGCUCUUGCAUUCGUUUGUGCUGCCCUGGUCCAAAUACAAAUUGAUAAAACUCUGCCUAAGUUCCCAUCAAGCACUGUUGGCCAAGCAAAGUUCAUCAACAUGCUUGACAGAUCGCUGGACGUCAAAGCUGGAACCAACGAGUUCACCUUGAAGCCUUACACGGCCAAUGAUGAUUACCUGACCUUUGAUGAUCCAUUUCUACUGACUCUAGGGGGAAAUGCCACUUACUUAACCGGUUUAGUGGAUGGUAAUCGUAGCACUGUAGUCAUCGUUCAGGAUGGGCCUCUACCUAAGCCUUUAGGGUUCAUGGACAUCAAAACAAAGCCGGAACAGGGCGCUAAUGAUAUCAGAUUUUUUAGUGGCUAUGACUCACUUUUGAAUGUAACAGUGGGUGACCAGGACUUUGGGGAGAUCACCACCAACAGCAUGUCAAAAUAUGUUGGGGUACCACGGGGACUAGCAAAGUUCCUGAUCAAGAGUACUACUGGACAAGAGUGUGUCUACAGUCAAGAGCUGGGCUUCGGCAGCUCCUUCACCUUGAUCAUCCCGCCAACUUUUGCAUUUGGACAAAAUUGUGAACAGAACAUCCAUCCAGUGAUGGACAUCAAGCCCAACACCAUCCACAUGGCCUGGCAGAUUCCCCAGUAUUUCCUCAUCACUGCAGGAGAGGUGGUCUUCUCUGUCACCGGCCUGGAGUUCUCCUACUCACAGGCACCCAGCAACAUGAAGUCUGUGCUGCAGGCUGGCUGGCUGUUCACUGUUGCUGUAGGUAACAUUAUUGUGCUCAUUGUGGCCGAGGCUGCAACGCUCCCAGAUCAGUGGGCCGAGUACAUCCUCUUUGCCUCUCUGCUGCUGUUAGUGUGCUUCAUCUUUGCCUUCAUGGCUUAUUUCUACACCUACAUCGACCCAACCCAGGAAGAAGCCCGGUUUGCCCAGAAAGAACCUGAAGAGAAGGAGAGGAGGAAGAGUGUAGAGAUGAAGAGGAAGGACUCGGUUGAGAACCGCAAGGAGGACAGGAAGAGUUCUGACUCCAGCUCUGACGAGGAGGAAGUCAAACAGACCAAGAUCUAAAGCGUCCAUCCUCUACGGCAUUUCCCUCUUUUGUACAAAUGCUUGGUUCUGUGUUUCAUGUCUGAGUCCAGUACACUACUGAACAUGUAGUGGUUAGAAUGAAUGAAUGGAUGAGUGAAAUGGUGCUGAUGUUAGCAGAACACAGAAACAGGGCUUUGAUGAUUAAGCUCUUGGUGUACAGUGUUGGUGAAGGGAUAAAUCAAACACUGUUAUCACCAUUUCAGCAAAAAACUUUGAGAGAAAAUUCAUUUAAACAGGUUACUCAUAUCAUUAAAAUCCCCAGAUCUUUACUUUACUUUAUUUUUACAGUGAUUUAUUUUGCACUGUGUAGCAACAUCUACAUAUGUAAUUUCUAGUUUCAUAGGAUUUUAUGAUGUGCCCGAGUAAACAUACAAAGAAACCAUUCCAACAUGUAUUUAUUUCCAAGCACAGUGUUGUAUGUAUUGUAAUAUAUUGUGUUUUAUAUGUGUAUGAUAUUCUCAUCUGCUCCAGGGAAAAAAUCUAACACCAAAUACUGCUUAUUGAGUCAUGAAAAUGUUUCAUUAUAUUCCAUAUUCAAUCUCAGAUUUCAUCUUGGCCUGGUAGAACACUGCCCUGUGAUAAUGGCUGCUCACCAAAGUCUUCAAUAAAGAUGCUACCAAGGUGUUGUUGUCAAUAAA